AUUGAACGCUGGCGGCAUGCCUUACACAUGCAAGUCGAACGGCAGCACGGGAGCAAUCCUGGUGGCGAGUGGCGAACGGGUGAGUAAAGUAUCGGAACGUGCCCAGUCGUGGGGGAUAACGUAGCGAAAGUUACGCUAAUACCGCAUACGAACUAUGGAUGAAAGCGGGGGAGCGCAAGACCUCGCGCGAUUGGAGCGGCCGAUAUCAGAUUAGGUAGUUGGUGGGGUAAAGGCUCACCAAGCCGACGAUCUGUAGCUGGUCUGAGAGGACGACCAGCCACACUGGGACUGAGACACGGCCCAGACUCCUACGGGAGGCAGCAGUGGGGAAUUUUGGACAAUGGGCGAAAGCCUGAUCCAGCCAUGCCGCGUGCAGGAUGAAGGCCUUCGGGUUGUAAACUGCUUUUGUACGGAACGAAAAGGUUUGGCCUAAUAAGCUGAGCUCAUGACGGUACCGUAAGAAUAAGCACCGGCUAACUACGUGCCAGCCGCCGCCGUAAGAC
rnacentral:rRNA from 1 species